UUGUUCACCUCAUCCCUCUCCAUGUUCUCCUUGUCCCUCCAUGCCCAGUACUAAGCAGUCAGUCACCUUUAACACCAGCUCCUGUGCUGAUAGCGACCGCCAUUUUGAAACUGACAGCCAUUUUAAAAGCUCUACUAACAUCCUUUCCUCUGGUCGAAUUGAUGGAUCAUCAGGCACAGGUCCUCUCUGAAGCUCUAGCAUCAGCCCAGGAGGAUGCAAGAAAACAAUAGGAAUAAACCACCACCCUACAGACUGAAAUUUUUGACAGAGGCUCUAGCUGCCUUCAAAGAUACUAUCAAGCAACAGCAGAGCAAAGAACCAUGACUGCCACAGUUGUAGUAAGGAAGGACAUUUUGCCAGGAAUUGUCACAAACCAAGAGAGAGGUUGCCUUUUAAGCCUUGUGGGUGCAGGGGGAACUAUCAAAAAACUAACAACUUCCAUCUAGUCCAGGAGUGUGCAUGUCAUCUGUCGGGAAACUCCCAGCUGAGUGCAAGGCAGCAGAGCGUGACAACGCAAACAUCCCUGUCACCCAUGCCAGAAGGCAUCAACAGGCCACAAGCUCACAGCUGCAGCACCUCCUCUCCAAUCUCCCUGCCACUACACCACCAGGAACCAGCUUGGAGCUGUCAACAGCCCAACCAGUAAUUCUCACAGACUACAUCCAUCAUGCAAUCUCUACUGGACAAUCAGGCCUGGAACAAUGGCCACAUGAAUUUUUGAUUGUGGGAAAGAACAGAGCUAGGGCUGAGGGAUUUUGUUAUACCCACUGUGCUUACAGUAACAUCAUCACAAGAAAUAACAGUUCUCACUAUGUGUCCUUGACCCCCCAUGUUUUAUCCCCAGUGGACUAAUUUUUGCUCAAAUGUUUUUGUUGCCAGAUUCAAAUGCUGAAACCUCCAAUGACUGUUUCAUUGUGUGGGCCAGCAAGAUCAGCUGCGAAUGACCUGAGCUUACAUGCAUCUUAAAACAUCUGGGUAAGAACAUCACCUUCACUGGGCUCAUUGACACUGGAGCAAACAUGGCAGUGAUUUCCUGAUCCUACUGGCCUCCAGAAUGGACUCUUGUAUCAUCUUUAGAUGUUCAAACAGGUAUUGGGAGUCACAGUGACAGUUUCUGAAGCUUAUAUUGGGUCACAUUUGAAGGUCCUGAGGGUUGUAUUACUACCACAAAACCAUUUGUAGUAAAAGCAAAAGUAGUCUUGUGUGGGAGGAACAUUCUAUCAGAAUGGGGCAUAAGGCUGGAAACAAAUUUUUUAAUAUGAGCUAUGAUGGGCAUGACACCCUAAAACUGAUUUUGACAUCAAAUAAACCUGUAUGGGUUGAUCGGUGGCCCUUACCCUGUGAAAAAUUAGUUGUGCUAGAACAAUAGGUACAAGAACAGUUGGACAAAGGCCAUCUUAUCCCAGCCACCAGCCCACAGAAUACUCCAGUUUUUAUAAUUAAAAAGCCCCAUAGUGAGAAGUGGCAUCUCCUUCAAGAUUUUAGAAAAGUAAAUGGUAUCAUUGAGGAGAUGGCAUCCCUACAACCAGGCUUAUCUUCCCCUAUAAUGCUACCCAGAAACUAGAAAUUAACCAUAAUUGAUUUAAAAGACUGCUUUUUUACCAUACGUUUGCAUCUGGACAAUGCACCAAGAUUUGCUUUCUCAGUACCAUGAAUCAACAAGCACCCUUGACAAGGUACCACUGGACAGUCUUAGCACAGGGUAUGACAAAUUCACCCACCAUCUGUGUACUUUGGUACAUAGCCAAAAUCCUUUCUCCUGUUUGCCCACAACACCCACAGUCCAUUAUACUGAAUUAUAUGGAUGACAUACUUAUUAGCUGCAGAAGAUGACUCCUCUAUAAAAACAUCUAACCAAGUCACCUCAGUUGUGUGGGAAGCUGAGGAAAAGAUACAACUUCCCCAAUGGAAGUAUCCCUGACACAAGAUUACAGGAACACAAGCAACAGACUGACACCCCAGUGAUUGCAACUAACAACCCCAGAACACUCAGUGACAUACAUCAACUUUUGGGCACAAUCAAGCGGAUCCAACCUCUGUUGGGGAUUACAAAUCAAGACUUAGCCCCUUUAUAUGAUUUACUGAAGGGAGAUCCAGCAUUAAAUUGACCCAGGACAUUGACUGAAAAAGCCCAAGAAGCUCCAUAUAAAGUUACAUCUGCCAUCCAAUUGUGUCAAGCGAAUCAUUUUGAUCCCAAUUUACCUUUUUUUGUAGUUUGUAGUUCUAGGAGAAGGUCCUCAACUUUAUGGAUUAAUUUUCCACUGGGAUCUACAAAUACCUGGCCUGCUACUCAUCCUGGAAUGGGUCUUUCUGUCAUAUCAAUCAAAAAAGACAAGAACCACUUGCCCAGAACUUAUCUCAGCUAAUUAUAAAAGCCAGAUCCAGAAUCCUCUUCCUUUCAGGAAGAGAUUUCUCAGUUAUGCUGUUAUGUUACCCAUAAUUAUUUAGACUAGUUGUUACAGCAAUCUGAAUGUUUACAAUAUGCUUUAGUAAAUUUUUCAGAACAAAUUUCAGUUCAUCAUCCCAAACAUAAGUUGUUGCACUCCGCUCUUAAGUUGAUCCUAAAACCUCUAAAACGUCAUACAUACUUGAUGCAAUCACCUUUUUUACAGAUGGCCUUGGGGAAGUCUCAGAAAUCUGUAAUUACCUGGAAAAACCCAGAGAUCCAAGAGUGGGAAUCAGACAUUGAGAAAGUGGAAGGCUCCCCCCGGAACACUGAGCUUGCAGUGGUUGUUCAUGCAUUUUCUAAGUUUAUAUUCCCUUUUCAUUUAGUUACUGACUCCUUUUAUGUUGCAGAAGUGGUGGAGAGAGCAGAAGAAUCCAUGCUCAAAAUGGUUCAAAACGAUAAGUUGUACGAUUGACUUAAAAAAUUAAUUUUUCUUCUUUCGUCAGCAAUUUAAUUUUAUUACCCACAUCUGAUCAUACACCUCCCUACCAGGGUUCAUGGCAGAAGGUAACACACAAGCAGACAUUCUGACCAUGGCCAUAUGAACAACUCUACCUAACUUUUUUGAACAAGCCCAUAUAAGCCACACAUUUUUUCAUUAAAAUGCCCCUGCAUUAAUGGGAAUGUUUAAUAUUACUAAAGACCAAGCAAAAAUGAUCAUUCAUUCCUGCCCAGAUUGCCCAGAAAAACAGACCAUACCAUCAGUCAGAGUUGGGGUUAACCCCCGAGGAUCAAACAUUUUGCAAUCUGACGUCACCAAUUACCAAUCAUUUGGUAAAUGUAAAUACAUACACAUAUCAAUAGAUACAUUCUCAGGAGCUACCUAUGUAUCAGCCCACAAUAGGGAAAAAACCCAAGACAAUGAAGUAUUUUCUACAAACUUCCUCUACAUUAGGUAUUCCCCAAGAAAUGAAAUCAGACAAUGGAUGAGCAUACACCUCCCAGAAAAUACAGGACUUCUUCGCUCUAUGGGGCAUUAAACAUUCAAUGGGCAGUCCUCACUUCUCUACUGGUCAAUCAAUUAUUGAAAGAGCCCACAAGUCUCUUGAACACCUUUUAGAAAAACGAAAAGGAGGAGUGGAGAUCCUGUCUACAGUAGAGAGGCUGUGCAAAACUUUGUAUGUUUUUAAUUUUUUGAGCAACUCAUUUAUGGAACCAGUCCCACCGAUUUUUAGACAUUUCACAAAUUCCACACAGGCAAAACUCCAGGAGAGACCACUGGUACUAGUGAAGGAUCCCAAAACAGGCCACUGAAGGAGCUCACAUCACCAACAAAAGACCCCAGUGGAGCACUCAGCAGAAGAAGAAACAUCCAUGGACCCUGGAAGGAGUCCUGUGCCUUGGAAUUUUUGGUCUGCACCAUACCCUUCAUAAAAACCUGCAGGUAGCAACGGGAAAGUGUCAUCAGCAAUGAUAUGACCUCAGAAUUACAGAAAAAGAGGAACAUUUGUAAUUUUCAUGAUAGUUAAUGGAAAGACUCAGCACUAAAAGACAUUAAGGACCCUCUGGAUCCAGUGGAUGUGCAUUAGAAUUUAAAGAAGGCAGAGAAGGAGCAUACUUAGAAAGAUCAUCCCUACGGCAUUAAACACUCUAACCAAAGAAUAAAAGGGGUUUGCAGUUUGUUCUUCAGUGGUACAUUUCCGGAUUACAUUGUAAUAUCUGAGUCACAUAAUACCCCGUCAUGCUAAAGAGGUCC